rnacentral:pre_miRNA from 1 species
AAUAGAAUUGCUGGAUCAUAUGGUAACUCUAUUGUUAACUUUUUGAGAAACUGCCAAACUAUUUUUCAAAGUGGCUGCACCAUUUGACAUUCCCACCAGCAAU